rnacentral:lncRNA from 1 species
UCUCAUUCUCGUUGAUUCCAUCAGAAGAACCAGUGUAAGAAGCCUCUCCGUCUUCAUUCUCAGGUAUAACAAUUAGCAGGGGUUGUGGUGCAGCCGAGAUUCUUCUAUUCGGGCCUAUGGCCAGUCCUAACUCUCCUUGAGUAGGAUGGGGGGGAUUGGUUAAUGUAGACCGCGUAAUUAGCCUCCUCUUCCAUGACUUGGUUCCAGUAAGCUUGUUCCUCAGUCAUGACUCCCCAGACAAGAGGCAAAGUUGUAAGUUCUCCUGAUGGGGGCUC